rnacentral:misc_RNA from 1 species
UAUAGAGAAUACCGUUUCCAUGAAAACGGUCAAAUCCAAAGCGACUGUCUGAACAUCUCUUUUUGAAAAUGGGUAUAAUUCUGCUGGGUCAGUAGUUCAGUUGGUUAGAAUGCCGCUCUGAUACAGCGGAGGUCGAAGAUUCGAGUUCUUCCUGACCCACCACUUAAAUUGAUGAGGUUGGAAUCAAAAACAAAUACUUGUUUUUGAUUCCAGAUGUUCUGAUGAAUAUCUUCGGAAUCUGCUUUUAUUAGCAAUCAUUGUAAAUCGGUUUUUAAUGUCGUAAAUCAAACUUUAUGGAAACAUGACUUUUGAUUUAUUGAACAUCGUAAUCUCAAAAAUCUUUCUAAAUAGAGUAAUCACGAAAGUGAUAAUUCAAUUAGAGAAGCAAGAAUCAACUUAAAUGCUUAAAAAACUCAUUAAGUUCUUUUGAUUGUGUUUGAAGACUUUCUCUUCAAGCAUAAGAUAAAAAGUAACAAAGGGUGUUUAGUGGAUGCCUUGGCAAUCAGAGGCGAUGAAGGACGUGAAAGACUGCGAUAAGUCCGGGUGAGGCGUCAAUAUCCUUUGACCCCGGAAUUUC